rnacentral:rRNA from 1 species
UACGAAGGGGGCUAGCGUUGCUCGGAAUCACUGGGCGUAAAGCGCACGUAGACGGAUUGUUAAGUCAGGGGUGAAAUCCUGGAGCUCAACUCCAGAACUGCCUUUGAUACUGGCGAUCUUGAGUCCGGGAGAGGUGAGUGGAACUGCGAGUGUAGAGGUGAAAUUCGUAGAUAUUCGCAAGAACACCAGUGGCGAAGGCGGCUCACUGGCCCGGUACUGACGCUGAGGUGCGAAAGCGUGGGGAGCAAACAGG